UUUCUCUCCUCCUUUGGGGGUUCGAAUCCCUGAGAAUUCUGAUCUAAAUGACUGGUUGUUGUCGUGUUUGACUUGUGAUAACUUGUUGAAAUAUCAAUUGAGGUGUAUGACUUUACGGAAAACUUGGCGUUCAAGAAAUGAGUGUCACUUUCAGCAAAAGAUUUAAAACCCAUAUGCAGUGGCAGUUGAGGUUAUGGUGAGUGUCCAAGAAUUUAACAAAGAAACUCCCGCGAAGAAGGUGAGAGGGAAUCAAGCCAUGGGAAGGACUUUAGAGCCUGUGGAGAGGGUUAUGUUUGUGAUGUAAGUCGAUGUUGGUUGCUUUGGGGAUGAAGGCUUUGUGACCUUUGGAUGUAUUAUCAAGUACCAUGAUGGGAAGAUUAUUCUUGUUGUGAGUCGUAAGGAACACAUCAUAGUUGAGCCGACGGUUGCGGAACUUUUGGCCGUUAUAUGGAGUUUGCAAUUGGCUAAGCAGCUUAGCCUCAAGAAGGUCUUGGUCCAAUCUGAUGUGUUGGAUGCAGUGGACUGUAUUAAUUUGAUUAUUUAUAAUGCUAGCCUGGAUGUUAUUGCCUCUGACAAUAGAGAAUUACUUGAGAAUUUUAGGACAUGUUGGAUGCCCAUAAUCUUGUGGGUCUUGGAAAUUUGUAUGGCUCCAAAACUUGGAUUGUGGGUUUUCCUAUUUGUGGCCUUCCCUCUUUUUCUUCUUUGAUUUAAUGAAAUUAACUUUCUCAUAAAAAAUACAAUAUAACCCUCACAUCCAUAGUUGAUUAAAUCAAGGUUCUUUUUUUAUAUAUAUGAGGGAUUU
rnacentral:lncRNA from 1 species